rfam:Streptomyces silvensis strain ATCC 53525 53525_Assembly_Contig_29, whole genome shotgun sequence.
UCGUCGACGAUCGUCGGCGAGAUGAAGUGGAUGUGCGUGUCGAUGCCGCCGGCCGUGAGGAUCUUGCCGUUGCCCGCGAGGAUCUCGGUCUCCGGGCCGAUGACCAGGUCGGGGUGGACGCCGUCCAUCGUGUCCGGGUUGCCGGCCUUGCCGAUGCCGGUGAUCCUGCCGUCGCGGAUGCCGACGUCCGCCUUGACCACACCCCAGUGGUCGAUGAUCACGGCGCCGGUGAUCACGGUGUCGGGCGCGCCUUCGGCCCGUGUCGUACGGGACUGCCCCAUCGACUCGCGG